AUAUUCAGAUGCAUUCUUAUCUGUUUCGAUUUUCCAACCCUAUUUUCCUAAAAGAGCUAGAUUGAAAAUCUUCAACUUUCUAAUUCCCAGCCCCUCUCUUCCAAAGAUCUACAAACCUUAUCUGAAUUAACCAACAUUAUUUAAUUUUUCUCUCCCCUCACUCCCUCCCCAUAAAAAUUGUUUGAAAAGAGAUUCAAGUUUAAAAAUUAUACAUGUCGGAGUCUUGAAAAGGGAAAGAAAGCAAACAGAGAGCGCAUACAAAGUGACUCUAUCAUAACGAAUUGACCUCAAAUGAACAAGUGUUUAUUCUUCCACUUAGACAAUCUUGAUCCUAGUGCCUUAAUCACUAGCUGCCAUGUAUCUAUUCUGUCUGGACUUGCCCCAAUUGAUAACCCAAGGUAUUUGCACGGUGUGGAUCCAAUCAUACAAUGUAGGAUAUUAGCCACCUCUUCCAACCAACACUAAGAAAUAUUGAAUCCCAUCAAUAAAUUUUUAUGAAAAUUGACUUGUAGGCCCAACAUUAGUUCAAAUAAUAGCAAAUCGGCCUCAACGACUAUAAUAUUUGACCACUUCUUCUCACCUAUGAUUAAUAUAUCAUCAACGUAUUGUUGGUGAGUAAAACGCUCCUCUCUCAUGUCAAAUUUGAAUCAUGUGAAUUAAAUAUAGGGCUGUUGAAGUGUCUAUGAAGUUAGUGGAAGACUGAGUUUCCCUGUUGUUUAGUAAUUUUUUUUCUUUCAGAGUAAACAAUAUUAAUUAUCUCUAGAUCUGUGUUAAAUGUAGUAUACCAAAACAAAUUAUAAAAAAAUAACCCCGUGCUUGAUGCAGUCCUGGUAUCAUUUUUGUAUAUUUAAACAAGUUUCUUUACAUACACAGGUAUAAACAAACGACUAUAUAGCCAUUUACUUGUAGGAAAAUGUUUAACUUAACUACUAAAUGUCGCCAUUAAUGUCAUUACUGAUGGGUAUAAGUUGAUGGUUUAAAAUCUCUUUCUAUGCAUCAUUAGCUUCAUUUUUCCUCUCAAGAACCACAUCUAUACAGCACCUAUCUUAUAUAUAUUGGUGUCCUUGCUAUAAUAGAAGGGAAAGUUGUUAAAGCCGAUAGGUAUAAGUUGGUUGAGCUUCAUUUUAGGCUUAUAAGUUAUUAAAUUUCAAAACUUAUAAGCCUAAAAUAUCUCACUGUCUUAUUUUGCAAUGGUUCUCUGCAUUCCUGAAACCUUAUAUAUUAUUAUGUCGAAAAAUAAUUAUCUGUUAUGAAGGCACAGCCAGUAAUAACAAAAUAAUAUCUGCACAAACCCAAAAUUGAAAUAAGUGACCUGCCACAAAUUACACAGCCACCUGAGCCAACUAUUGUAUAGGAGCAGUAUCUAGUGGUUCACCACAAAAAAUUUGACAGAUUAAAAGUCUGCGAAUUAAACAUUUAGAAUAUAAAAUUAAUAGACAAAACCAUUUACCUCAAUGGAGUAAAUUUCUGAACCUUCUGAAGAAAAGGCAACAACAUCUACAAGAGGUGUCAUAACCUCUCUAACUAGUGUGUCUUUUAUCUCCAACACGUUUUGAACCAUAUCCUACAUAUAAUUAUAGUUUUAUUGUUAACAGAUUCUUGAUUUAAUCAAUGUUGAGCUGGGGAAUGUGUAACGUCCACUUUCAUUUAAUCGUUUAUUUAAACGAGUUUAGACGAUUAUAUUAUAAUUAUAUAAUAUAUUCAUGAUUUUGAUAUGUUUUGAUGAUUUACGAUGAUUUUGGUGAUUUGAUUGAUGACGUGAUAAGUUAUGAAUUUUGAAGGCUUUGAUAAAGAUAUGAGAUUUAUUUUAUUGUUAAAUAAAAUAAAGAUUUGAAAAUAAUAUAAAAUAUUUAGUUGAGGGCUGUUUUGAUAUUUUAGAUAGUUUUGGGGGAGAAAGUGAAAUAAGAUAAGUAAUUAAGGAGAUAUAAAAAGGUUAGACCUAGUUUUAGAAAAACAUUGUUGUACGUACGUUUUUGGAGAAAAAGGGAGAAAAAGCCAAGAGAAGAGAAACCAAGAGAGAGGGCUGCGAUUUCUGCAAAACAAGGUAAGGGUGAGACUAAUAAUUCAAUAAUGUUAAUUGUUGUAAUUAUGAUGAUUAAUUGACAAAGUUAGGAUUGAUUUAGAAAAGUUUUGGAAUUAGGUCAUGUUAUCGCGAUUUUCGGGUGUCAAGUCAUUAAUUAGGCUUGAAUCUUUCAAUCUUUGAUAUUCUCUAUUUUUUCUUGGGAAGGGCAAAAUUGAGAAAAAACCCUUAGAUUCUAAGUUCGGGGGUCGUUUUCACUACGGGAAGGUGUUAGGCACCCGCGGUGACUAUAGUACUCUAUAGGAGCCGUUUUCUUAGUUUAUGUCUACGCUUUAUUUUUAAUGCUAUUUAUGAAAAAGGAAAUUUAUUUAUGUUAAGAAUGGGGGGAGAAAGUGUUUGAGGUUUUAUUUUAGUGGACUUGGAGAGGUUUUGACCUCAUGCCUACAUACCCAUUUAAGGGAUCAAACUCCAUGUAGUUCUCUCUCAAAAAAUGUUUUUUGUGUGUUUGGUUGAUUUUAGUUUUUGUUGGAAAAUGGUUUUGAAGAAGAGAAAGAGGCCUUAAAGGCAUAAGAGAGAAAAAUGGUGAAUGGUUGGUUCAAUUGUUAUUAAAAAAGUCUAAGUAGGAAUUAGGAUUCAUUUGGAUUUGUUUAAGAAAAUAAAGGAAAAAAUUCAAUGGAGUUUUGACUCCAAGGUUUGUUUGGAAAAAUUUGAGUGAUGGAAUUGGUUUAUUAUUUUUUUGAAAAUUGGCAUUUGUCUAAAAAUCGCGUUUCCUAAGCAUACAUCUAAACGGUAAACAUGCAACGUGUGUGCGUGUCGGUGCUUGUGUCGGUGUACAUCACUUAUAGUGUCCAUAGUCCUUUACAUUGAGUCCUAAAUACAUGCUAUGGUCUUGCAAGGAAUUAAAAAAAGAACUAAUCUAUCUAAAAUUAUUACAAACCCAAUUGAUAUAGAAAUGAAUAGAAAAAUGAUGCCAAAACUAUGGGAUGAAUGAAAUGUGAGAUGAAAUGGUUAGUAUCAUAAGGCAUAAAAAUAGUAGAAAGGUAAACAAAAUUGAAUAGAAUAGCAAGAGAAAAAAAAAAAUAAUGAAAUGAAAUAAAGUGGCAAAAUAUACCUAAAAUUGGUUAUGACACUUAGACAUGCAUAUGACCUAUAAUCCCCUCAUUAUAGCAAUGUUAAAGGGGUUUGAUUUUGAGCUAUAAUGUGGGAACAAAUAGGACACAUUCAAGCCAAGAAUCAUGACACAUUUUUAAAGAUAUUUUGCACUUUAUUUCUUGAUAAAAACACACAUUACUUGCAAAACAAGAAAGAAAUGAAAAUCUACAUCCACAAUCAGCAAGACAUACAUAUGAUCAGCAACACAUUCACCAUGAAAUUACACACCAAUCAUCCACAUCACAUGCCAACAUUUUAUGAGAAAAAUAUACCACAAAAAUACACAAACUUAGAUCAAACACAAAAUUAAUCAAGAAAAAAUAACACACACAUUUUUAUCAUUUUUAAACCAUUGAAAAAUAUCACAAAAGUACUAAAAUGUAUUAAGAAACAUAUAACAAUUUUUUAGGAAUUUUUAGAGAAAAGAUUAAGCACGCAGAGGUUCAAUUAGCAAAAAAGCAGGGUGCAGACAGCACAAAAAAGCAAAAACGUACAGGAACUUUAGGCCCAAACCCAAAGCCCAACACCAGAUCACAGGAAAGUACAGGGACCGUUGGAUUGAUCCAGGAGAUGGAAACCUAGAUCCAACGGUCUAGAUUGAGGGAAAACGAACCAGAAUUGGACCGGUCCGGUUCAGUUGGUUAUAAAANNNNNNNNNNNNNNNNNNNNNNNNNNNNNNNNNNNNNNNNNNNNNNNNNNNNNNNNNNNNNNNNNNNNNNNNNNNNNNNNNNNNNNNNNNNNNNNNNNNNGGUAAAACUUGAUUAGAUUGAUGUAGAAACCGUCCUAUAACCUUAGAACAUGUUUAGGAUGGAUUAUGGAAUCAAAAUUAGGCUUUGAACCAUGUUAUUUGAUGGAUUUUCGAGAAAACCCGUUUUCUGUCCGAGCCUCUGUUCAUCGCUCGCCUUGGCGAGGGAUGAUCCUCACCUCGCGAGUGAUGAACUUCAUCGCUCGCCACGCGAGCCCUUUUCCUUCGCCUCGCGAGUUCUUUGGGUACCGCUCGCCAUAGCGAGCUAAGGCAGAGAGCAUGUUAGAUUUUGUGUUUCGACCUUUUUAGUUGGACCUUGAGUGCCUUUGAGUGCCUGAACAUACCUAGUAUUGAUUAGGAAUGAAUGUAGGAUCAGACUUAACCCAGAACAACACUAGUUUGGGAGUUGAGUUGUACUCGCCUCGCGAGCACAACCAUAAUGUAGUUGCUUGAGUGUUUGUGCGAUCUAUGUCGCACGUUUUGAUCGAUAGUGAACCCCUGCUUGGUAUUGAGACCUAAUGAUGACGUUAAAUGCAGUCUGUAGAGUUGUUAAGAUAUGUUGAUAUUAAUUGAACAUGAACUAAUGUAUUGUAUAAUUAUGCAAGAUAUGCAAGUUUGAUUAUAAUGCAAUUGAUGUGCUAUUGAUAUAAUGAUAUCAUCCUGUUAUGUGAUUUGUUUAUGCUGCUUCUGUUAUUUAACUAAGUGCAUAUUGUAUAUGAGUAUGAUGAAAUGAUGAAGUUAGCUCCAAAUUAUUGGAUGCAUGUUGAUAUGUUGAUUACGAUGUUUUGUUCAUACGAGUCCAUGCAUAGCAUCUCAUUGAGCUUAGUCCUCACCACGAUUAUUAGGAGCUUUGUCCUCCGCACGAUUAAAGUAUAUUAAUACUUAUGAUGACGAUUGGUACCACAUGCGUAUAAGGAGUCUAAGAGCAUUGUCGCAUUGUCAUGAUUAAGAUGCCUUGUUGAUAAUGAUUGUAUAUGUGAUUACGUGAUAAGUGUUCAUCAAAUAUGAUAUGUUGUUCAUGAUAAAUGGAUAUAUGAUUACGUGAUAACUGUUUAGCAAUUUUGCAAAGUUGUUAAAGAAAUGAUUAUGAUGUUAACUUAUGAUUCGCAAUUACAUUGAUUAAUGUUAUUUUGUUAUGAAAUCUCACCCCUUCUGCUUGAAAAUGUUGCCCUUCGUAUGUUUAUCUUGCAGGUGAUCGUGCUUAGUGUGCAGUUGCCGUCGUGAGUGGCCUUGCCUUCACUGUGUCGUCUAGGUCGCUCUGAUACGUAACGGGAUGGGGAUUAAUGUUAUACAUGCUUCAUUCUCUUACGUGAUUAAUAUGUUAUUUUUAUAAUGUUAUGGAUUACGAUAUGAACUGUUUUGAUGGGGCCUACGUGCCAAACUGAUUUAUGAUUUUCGAACUAAUAUUCCGCUGCUAUGUUAAGAUAUUAUGUGAAAGUUAAAUUAUUAUUUAACUGUUGUUUUUGGAUUACGUUUCCAUGUGAUAUCCCGUUUAUGGUUUUUACUCUGAUAAAUGUUUAAGAAAUUUGUAUAUUGGAAAAACGGGGUGUUACAGAAUGCAAUAUUCAACUCGUCAACGAUCUCUUUCUCCCAUUUGAGGCGAUACAAAUUCUUCAAGUUCCUUUAUCUACUAGUCAGCUGAGUGAUAUGUUCAUCUGGGAAGCAAAUCAAUGAUCUGUGAAUUCAGAACACAAAUCCUUAAAGGAGAGGAGUAUGAAGUAUUGCAAAACCAACCACGUUAUGGUCCAAACUUUGGAAUCUCAAAACUAUCCCAUGUCAUGUUCACCUUAUAUGUGGCGUAUCUUGCAUAAUCAGUCUACUCCCGGUUCAAGUUGCUCUCUUUAAGAAAGUUAUUAAUUGCUCCCCACUGUGUGCUUUCAAUGAAUCUAUUAAUCACCUCUAUCAAUGAGUGGGAUGAACAAGGGAUUGUGAGUGAAUCGGAGCAUGUGAUUAAAUCAGUCCUAUCCAUGUAUUAUGACGUAUGGAAAAAUAGGAACAAGAGUGCUUUGACGGAUAUGAUAUUCCCGGUGCAGCAGACGGGGGUUAGGGACUGUCAGCAGUAACUCGUGAUGCUGACAGAGUAGUUGAACUUGUUGCUCUGAACUGCUGUAAAAACAUGAUGUGGACGGGCUAUGGCAAUGAAGGCUGGACUGAAAUUUGUAAGGGAGAUACUCUUUUUAAAUUUAUUUGCCGAAUCUGAUUCUCUAUAUUGGAUUACUGCAAUCUUUUAUUUUCUAGCUUUUAUAGUCUAUAGUUUAUACAUGUUAGACUUCUUGUAUUAUGCUCCACGUUAUCCAGGAAGAUUUGGCAUUUUCAAUUCUGAUUGUGUGUGGAUUGGUGAAACUCCUAGUUGUAUUUCUGUCUUGGCAUUCGAUUUGAUGUCAAACAGAUAUAACUUUUCAACUUCAAAAUAAAUGUUCCUUUUUAUGUUCUGCUUAUCUAAAUGAAAUGCAUUUGUUCACAUAACAUAUCACAUUGUUAUUGUUUUUUUCUUUUCUUCUUCCAUAUAAUCCAAGUGCUUUCAGUAUCUGUUUAUGUCUGAACCUGUAAAAUUUUAGCAUAGUAAAAAGCACUUAUACAGAAAUGAUACUGUCAACACUAGCACAACACAUUAAUUUUUUUGGGUAUUAAUCCUCCGAUUUUUAGGAGUAGGGGUUCUGGUGAUCCGGAGUUAAGAUGGAAGAUA
rnacentral:lncRNA from 1 species